rnacentral:tRNA from 1 species
GGUGGGUACAGCUCAGCAGUGGAGCGCAUGCUUAGCAUGCAUGAGGCCCUGGGUUCCACCCCCAGCACCACCA